rnacentral:rRNA from 1 species
UAGGGAAUCUUCGGCAAUGGGGGGAACCCUGACCGAGCAACGCCGCGUGAGUGAAGAAGGUUUUCGGAUCGUAAAGCUCUGUUGUUAAGGAAGAACGAGUGUGAGAAUGGAAAGUUCAUACUGUGACGGUACUUAACCAGAAAGGGACGGCUAACUACGUGCCAGCAGCCGCGGUAAUACGUAGGUCCCGAGCGUUGUCCGGAUUUAUUGGGCGUAAAGCGAGCGCAGGCGGUUAGAUAAGUCUGAAGUUAAAGGCAGUGGCUCAACCAUUGUAGGCUUUGGAAACUGUUUAACGUGAGUGCAGAAGGGGAGAGUGGAAUUCCAUGUGUAGCGGUGAAAUGCGUAGAUAUAUGGAGGAACACCGGUGGCGAAAGCGGCUCUCUGGUCUGUAACUGACGCUGAGGCUCGAAAGCGUGGGGAGCGUACAGG